rnacentral:rRNA from 1 species
GCUUACGGCCAUACCAGCCUGGGUACGCCCGAUCUCGUCUGAUCUCGGAAGCUAAGCAGGGUCGGGCCUGGUUAGUACUUGGAUGGGAGACCGCCUGGGAAUACCAGGUGCUGUAUGCA